rnacentral:snoRNA from 1 species
CUUACUUUAGAAUGAUGAAAGAGGUAGCAAUUUGCAGCAGAUUUUUCGUGAUUGAAUCAAACAAAGAUUAACCUUUACAGAACCGCUACACUGAUACUAAUGUAAG